CCGCGCUCGCCAGCCGCGGCGGGGCGGCUCCCGGCGCCGCAACCAAUGGAUCUCCUCCUCUGUUUAAAUAGACUUGCCGUGUCAAUCAUUUUCUUCUUCGUCAGCCUCCCUUCCACCGCCAUAUUGGGCCACUAAAAAAGGGGGCUCGUCUUCUCGGGGUGUUUUUCUCCCCCUCCCCUCUCCCCGCUUUCUCACGGCUCCGCGACUCCGACGCCGGCAAGGUUUGGAGAGCGGCUGGGUUCGCGGGACCCGCGGGCUUGCACCCGCCUGGACUUGGACUGGCUUUGCCACCCCCUCCUCCUGCCUCCUCCCCUCCCCUCCCCGCCCUCCCGCUCGCCCGUACACUUGAUCGGCUGAGACUUUCGGCUGCCCGGCCGGGGCUUCCCCGCACCCCUCCCCCGGACCCUGCGCGCUCCUGAAGCUCGGGCAGUUACUCCGCGGAGUUUGUUGCUCUUGGAGCUGAGAGCCGUCGCGGCGCUUAUAAGAGGGGUUCGGGCUGCGUCGGGGCGUUUUGUUUGUUCGGUUUUGUUUUUUGAGAGCGCGACAGAGGCGGUCGUCGGGACCCGGGAGGAAGAUGUCAAACGUGCGAGUGUCUAACGGGAGCCCGAGCCUGGAGCGGAUGGACGCCAGACAGGCGGAGCACCCCAAGCCCUCGGCCUGCAGAAACCUUUUCGGCCCCGUGAAUCACGAAGAGUUGACCCGGGACUUGGAGAAGCACUGCAGAGACAUGGAAGAAGCAAGCCAGCGCAAGUGGAAUUUCGACUUUCAGAAUCACAAGCCUCUGGAGGGCAAAUACGAGUGGCAAGAGGUGGAGAAGGGCAGCUUGCCCGAGUUUUACUGCAGACCCCCGCGGCCCCCCAAAGGCGCCUGCAAGGUGCCGGCGCAGGAGAGCCAGGAUGUCUGCGGCGGCCGCCAGGCGGUUCCUUUAAUUGGGUCUCAGGCAAACUCUGAGGACACGCAUUUGGUAGACCAAAAGACUGACCCGUCAGACAGCCAGACAGGGUUAGCGGAGCAGUGCGCUGGAAUCAGGAAAAGACCUGCCACAGACGAUUCUUCUUCUCAAAACAAAAGAGCCAACAGAACAGAAGAGAAUGUUUCAGACGGUUCCCCGAAUGCUGGUUCUGUGGAGCAGACGCCCAAGAAGCCGGGCCUCAGAAGACGUCAGACGUAAACAGCUCGAGCUUAUACAAAACGGCACUGUAGAACCUCUAAAAUACAGCACUAUAUGAAGUGGGAAAAUUGGAUGAAAAAUUUUCCUGAAGCAACCUUAAGCACCUGCAACUCUUGUUGGUUUGUGACUUGUGGCCUAGCUCAUCAGAUGAGCCACGUGAAUCAGACCUAUUGGGAUUUUGAUUUGGCCCCAUCCUGACGUGCAGAGAAGCAUUUAAUUAAGAAUGUUUCCUUGUUUAUCAGAUACAUCACUGCUUGAUGAAGCAAGGAAGAUAUAUAUAAAAAAUUUUAAAUACAUAUCGCUGACUCCAUGGAAUGGACAUCCUGUAUAAGCACUGAAAAACAACAACACAAUAACACUAAAAUUUUAGGCACUCUUAAAUGAUCUGCCUCUAAAAGCAUUGGAUGUAGCAUUGUGCAAUUAGGUUUUUUCCUUAUUUGCUUCAUUGUACUACCUGUGUAUAUAGUUUUUACCUUUUAUGUAGCACAUAAACUUUGGGGAAGGGGAGGGUAGGGUGGGGCUGAGGAAUUGGCAUGGGGGGGGUAUGAACAGCUUGCUUCGAUUUAUAGCAAGGAGAUAUUUGACUUGCAUGAAGAGAAGCAAUUUGGGGGAAGGGUUUAAAUUGUUUUCUUUAAAGAUGUAAUGUCCCUUUCAGUGAGAACUGAUAAUUCAUUUUUAAAAUCAUCAAAAUUUGAACCCUGGUUACAAAUAGUUGCUAUUUGUUUUCACAUGAAGCUUAUUCUCAUUUGGGAGAUCUGAUGGUUCCGUUAUGUAGCAGCAAAUGGCUUAAAACAAAAAACAAAGCAAAAACUUAUCCUCAGUGCUCCCCCAGUCUCCUUUUAAAGUUAGAACUUACCAGUUAAUUAUUCAGCAGUUAGGUAAUCACUCCAGGUAAUUCGGGGCAAAAAUCUGGGGUGUAUGGGGAGAAUUCUGAAUGCUCAGAAUGUACCAAACUUAGAACAUUUCUUAAUUUUCUUUUCACUUUGGGCUGUGUAGACACAAUCAAAAUAAUUCUAAAUCCCUGGCUAUUUUUAAAAAUCUGUAACUUCACAUAAAAAAAUGAAAUAAUUUUUAAUUUAAAGCUUCUUAUUCUGUUUGUUAAUUUGCCCAAAGGAAAGUAGUCUUUUUAAAGGAAGGUGCUUGUAGAGAAAAGCACACUCGUGGAAUAAGUGAAAUGGAUACUACAUCUUUAAACAGUAUUUCUUCAUUGUCUGUGUAUGUGUAUGAAACAAAACAUUUGAAGUGUACCUGUGUACAUAACUCUGUAAAGACACUGAAAAAUUAUACUAACUUAUUUAUGUUAAAAAGAGAUUUUUUUUUUAAUCUAGACAAUAUACAAGCCAAAGUGGCAUGUUUUGUGCAUUUGUAAAUGCUAUAUUGGGUAGAAUAGGUUUUUCAAAACUCUCUUCUGUUAAAUAAUAUGGCUAUGCUUCAAAGUUUGCAUACUGAGCCAAGUAUAAUUUUUUGUAAUGUGUGAAAAAGAUACCAAUUGUUACACGUUAAGCAAUCAAUAAAGAAAACUUCCAUAGCUA